GACGAACGCUGGCGGCGUGCCUAACACAUGCAGGUCGAACGAGGUCCGAGGAAGCUUGCUUCCUGAAGACCUAGUGGCGAACGGGUGAGUAACACGUGAGAAACCUGCCUCGGAGUGGGGAAUAACUCGGGGAAACUCGAGCUAAUACCGCAUACCUUCACAUGAUCGCAUGGUCGAGUGAAGAAAGAAUUUCGCUCUGAGAGGGUCUCGCGGCCUAUCAGCUUGUUGGUGGGGUAACGGCCUACCAAGGCAACGACGGGUAGCUGGUUUGAGAGAACGAUCAGCCACACUGGGACUGAGACACGGCCCAGACUCCUACGGGAGGCAGCAGUGGGGAAUCUUGCGCAAUGGGCGAAAGCCUGACGCAGCAACGCCGCGUGCGGGAUGACGCCUUCGUGGUUGUAAACCGCUUUCAGCA
rnacentral:rRNA from 1 species